rnacentral:rRNA from 1 species
GACGAACGCUGGCGGCGUGCUUAACACAUGCAAGUCGAACGAAAAGGCCCUGCUUUUGUGGGGUGCUCGAGUGGCGAACGGGUGAGUAACACGUGAGUAACCUGCCCUUGACUUUGGGAUAACAUCAGGAAACUGGGGCUAAUACCGGGUAGGAGCUCCUGCUGCAUGGUGGGGGUUGGUAAGUUUCGGCGGUUGGGGAUGGACUCGCGGGUUAUCAGCUUGUUGGUGGGGUAGUGGCUUACCAAGGCUUUGACGGGUAGCCGGCCUGAGAGGGUGACCGGCCACAUUGGGACUGAGAUACGGCCCAGACUGCUACGGGAGGCAGCAGUGGGGAAUAUUGCACAAUGGGCGGAAGCCUGAUGCAGCAACGCCGCGUGCGGGAUGACGGCCUUCGGGUUGUAAACCGCUUUGGCCUGUGACGAAGCGUGAGUGACGGUAAUGGGUAAAGAAGCAACGGCUAACUACGUG